rnacentral:rRNA from 1 species
AUGAACAUCCCGAUUGCCCGAAACACGAACGGCGCAUGCAUGUCACCAGCAGCAAAACAUCUGCAUCAUCAGGAAAAAAGAGCUCCGGCGCGGGCGUGGACGCUUGGCGCGGCCCGAGGCGAGCGCGAGGACCUCCGGCCGCAGCAGCACGAGCGGGGACCAGAGGCCGCUCGUGUCGUAGUCGAAGCCGAACUCGCUGGCGUCCAUGAACUUGCCCAGCAGCUCCUCGGAGACGUCCAUCGGCACCACCUGCACCACCGUGGCGCCAGCCGACGCCGCCGGCGAAGGAGCAGGCGGAGGAGAGGGGCUCAGGAGGUCCAGGAGCGACGGUGGCGACGUCGGCAUGUUCUGCUGCUGAUCGAGACGGACGAAUGCAUGGGGGUGCAAGACGGACGGAUGUUUUUGGACGGAUAG